UACGGGGGGAGCAAGCGUUGUUCGGAUUUACUGGGCGUAAAGGGCGCGUAGGCGGCCACGACAAGUCAGUUGUGAAAUCUCUGGGCUUAACUCAGAACGGUCAAGUGAUACUGUCGGACUAGAGUACAGAAGGGGCAACUGGAAUUCUCGGGUGUAGCGGUGAAAUGCGUAGAUAUCGGGAGGAACACCAGUGGCGAAGGCGACUUCCUGGCCUGUUCUUGACGCUGAGGCGCGAAAGCUAGGGUAGCAAACGGGG
rnacentral:rRNA from 1 species